GGAUCAUUCUGGUAGAACCGCAGUACUUGAACUCUUCACCAGUUAAGGGCAAAAAGGGAAAUUGUGAAUUUUCGCUUUGGUGCUUAGGUUUACAGGGACAUGACCCUUAACUGACAUCUGACAUCAGAUACCCAAGUGUGCUCAGCUCUGGGUAGAGUUGCUGCAGUUACGCUUGUUAAAUAAUGAACAAUAACUCACCACUAGUCACUUUAUACCCAUAACUAACUCUGGCUCUUAUGGUCCCUGGUUACUGGUGUAAGGGCUGAAAUUUAUUUUGUCUCAUUCUGGGAAGACCCCUGUUGAUCUUGGGAAUGUCUGAAAAAAUACUGUGGUGUAACAGUAAUCUGAAUUUGUGUUGACACUAUUCACAUUUCUUUAGCCCCUGCUGGCUCUUUGGGCUGAAUGAAGAGGUCCUGUACAGAACCUUCCCGAAUGAAGAAGCCUGGCAGUGGGGAGUGGG
rnacentral:lncRNA from 1 species